GUGAAAGGUGAUCCUUUUCAUGUGAUUCACAAGUCCCGUCUGGAGACUCUCCCUAUGCCAAAGCCCAACAUGAUUUUGGAUUGUCCUUGUUUCAAUUGAAUCUCAUGUUCUUGUGAUUUAGUAUUUGUAAUUGGUAUGAUGAUUGUUUGUAUUUAUUCUGCAACUUUGAUGUUUAAAUGUAAUGCUUUCUCUCUUAUUUAGCAAUCAUUUUUCAUUUGUAAUUCAAUCUAUUCUUCGUUUUUAGUUGCCACCUGUCAAUUUAUUGGGAAUAAGACUCAGUUUGCUGUUUUUGUUGAACUCCCUAUUUUUAAUGAAUAUAGCUGACUUGAUCCUAUUUUGUUUUUGGCAUAUAAAGAUUUUCUUAAAAUCUGAACUUAUUUCUAUAGUUCUUAUGCUCUGUUUACUUUCCAUCAAUUCUGCUCGGAAAUUGCCAAAAAUGGUAUACAUUUGAUCAGCACAUUACUGACUAAAUAAUAAUUUAUACAGUGCAUUUCUGUUUUGACUGUGACUUCAAAUGAAAUUAGAAAAGAAACUGCUCCAGAAAAAGCAAAUCUUCAAAGUGGGGAUAUAAUUGAAUUGUUCUUGGAGUAUCCUACUAUUCUUGACUUAAAUUUAUCUGAUUAAUUCAUAGGGAUAGUAUAUGAUUAUUACAUAUUUGAUGACAGCUGAUAGAUAAGGAUCCAAUUAAGGCUAUUUGCCUGUUUUGGGAUGCAAUAAAUUCUGGCGAUCAAGUUGAUAGUUCCCUGAAAGACACGGCAAUUGUCAUGAAGCAAUUGGAUCAGUCAGAUGAGGCGAUUGAGGCCAUAAUGUCAUUCCGUCAUCUUUUUCCCUCCAUGUCUCAGGAAUCUUCUAACAAUAUGCUGGUCGAACUUUAUUAGGUAACAUACAAUCAUCUAAAUUCUAAUGUGUGCUUCUUCUUUUUCCCCUUUGAUAUGUUUUACACAUUGGUUAAUUAAUCUAUGGUUUGUGACGAAUUACAUAUACAUGAAGGUUUCUGUUAGAGAAUGAAAAAUAUUUUAUUACAUUCUGUGAAGAUAUGGUUCACCUAACCCCACCACCUAAUGUUGUGAGUUGAUGGGAGUGAGGUUGACACAAUAAGGUCUUCCCUUCCUUUUGGCAGAGGCAUGGUCUUUCUUCCUAUCCCUUCAUUAUGUACACUCUACCAUUUUCAAAUAAAAAGGGGGCAGCUCUCAGUCUCUUGAAUACCCAGCAGUAGGAGCUCUCGUUUUUCAUAAAAGGGUGGUGGUUCUUCAUUGGUUUUUCCCCUCUCUCUUUGGAAGGCAAUUGGCAUAACAUGGGGCUGUUCCUGAGCCUGGAAAAACACCCAUAAAUCGAAGAAGGAGCUGCUGAAACGAAGCAGAAAAGCUGGACAGAUUUUCGGCCAAAGAAGGGGAGUAUUCUUCCGGUUUAUUUUUCUUGUUUUUGCCUUGAAUCUUGUUUGUUGAUUGUUGGUUUGGUUGUUUGAACUCCUAGGAUCCCCAACAAACUGGUAUCAGAGCUAGGAGGAGUGAUAUUAGUCCAAAAAUCGAUCAAAAACCAGCAAGAAAUCACCAUUUUCACAUUCUAACCGAAUCUGAAAAACUUGAUUUCCGGCCAACCGAUUGACUUUCCGGCGAAAUGGACCAUGGAACCAUGACCGGCAGGAGGAGGCGCACCCUGUGGUGGGGCGCGUGACCGCCGGCGGCGCGUGGCUCCGACGAGCUUUUUUCGGGCAGUUUACUCAUUUUGACGUCCUGAACGCACUGAUGUUGUUUGUUUUUUGUUUCAGAUUUUACAGAAAAAGUUGGACGAUUUUGCCCCCACCUUGACGUCUACGGCAAUUUGGUUCAGAAACUUGGUGGUAUAUUUACUGUUUGUCAACAGUAGUUUGGUAAGAUUAUUCCAAACUCUCCGUUAGGUUAGGUUUGGUAUCCUUACCGGUUUAUGCAUGGUUAUUGCUUGGUUGCUUAUUUGUGAAUUCUGUUGACUGAAUUCUUGUGAUUAAUUUGUAACCUGGAAGCAUAUUUACCUGCUUUAUAUACCUGUGUUUCGUGAACGGAUUAUUUCACUGUUGUGCUUCAUUUCUAAAAAUUGUUUUUUAAAAACUCGGUACUCAGUUUCAUAUUGAUCAUCUGGAAAAGAAUUUUUCAAAACCUUUUUUGUUGUGUCCACGAGUACAGGCCACUCCUUUAUAGAAUCUAUAAUGGGUUCGAGGGUCGAAUUAUCGCAAUUCGAUGGAAAGGGGGAUUACUCGAUAUGGAAACAGAAAAUGAGGGCCAUUUUGGUCCAACAGAGAGUUGCUAAAGCUCUUGAUGAUCCCGCUACAUUUUCUGAUGAGUUAAAAGCUAAAACAACUGAAAUUGAAGACAUGAAUGAAAUUGCUUACAGUUAUAUAAUUUUGCAUCUAUCUGACAAUAUUGUGAGACAAGUUGAUAGUGCUAAAACUGCUAGAGCUUUGUGGAUUGCUUUAGAUGCCCUGUUCUUAACUAAAACUUUACCUAACAAAAUAUACCUGUUGGAGAAGUUGUUUAGUUUUAAGAUGGACCCGGG
rnacentral:lncRNA from 1 species